rnacentral:miRNA from 1 species
AUCAUAAUUUACCAACUUGUA